rnacentral:rRNA from 1 species
CAGUAGCCGCGGUAAUACGGAGGGGGCUAGCGUUGUUCGGAAUUACUGGGCGUAAAGCGCACGUAGGCGGCUUGGUAAGUUAGAGGUGAAAGCCUGGAGCUCAACUCCAGAAUUGCCUUUAAGACUGCCGAGCUAGCAGGUGAGAGAGGUAAGUGGAAUUCCGAGUGUAGAGGUGAAAUUCGUAGAUAUUCGGAAGAAUACCAGUGGCGAAGGCGGCUUACUGGCUCAUACUGGACGCUGAGGUGCGGAAGCGUGGGGAGCAAACAGGAUUAGAUACCCGCGUAGUCCCUGUCUCUUAUAC